AUUCGUCUUCUCUUUACAGAGACACAUUGAGAUGAAGACACUGCUCCGUGUGAUCUUCUACCUGAAGGUUUUCUCAUGUCUGUCCCACGCUGUGACCGUGACUCAGGACAAUACUUUUAUAUUGCUGCAUGAUGGAAGUAGUAUGGAUGAAAUAUCCUGUAUGCAUGAUGCAACCGAGAGCUACAAUAUGUACUGGUACCUGCAGAAACCAGGGGAAGGCUUGGUGCUUAUUGCAGUGUCAUAUGGCGAGAAAGAUGUCAACCUAGAGAAUGGGUUUGAGAACAAGUGGGUAAUCACUCGGCCAAGUAAUGCGAAAUCUACGUUCACACGAAAUGGGACAGUGAACAUCCAUGACUCUGCCACGUAUUACUGUGCAGCCAGUUUACACAGUCAUAGGAAGCUGUGA